UUGCAAGAGUUUAUCAACGUCUGGUUUUCCCGUGUCCAAGGUCCCACCUUAUCACUGUAAGAGGCAUCGAUUCACUUAGUUGUAAUUAUCAGAAUGAAGACACUAGCUGUUAGUUUGCUAACAAUUUUUAUUUUUUCUGUCGCACAUGGCGAGCCAGAUUAUUAUUGGCGCGACUAUCACGGAAAAAUCCCUGCCGAUGCCAUUGUGGGUGGGAGAGACUCCAGAGGGUACCCCACCUACAUAGGCCAGGCUUUCGUCCGUUGUCACGGCAUUUUAAUUGGGCAAAUAUAUCCAGGCCAAAAAACUAUAACGACCUCCAAGGAAGGAAUACACGUUACUGAUGUUUACAACAGAAUACUGUGUAGUGGUCACAAAGAGAACUUCUCCUGGGUGCCCGGAAACGCAGCAACGUUGCAUUUAACCACAAUUAAUAAGCACUUAGUGUCAGGUGGAACUGAAUGGGGAAAGGUCCUUAACAUAGGUCGUGUCAAAUAUCAAGGCGAAUUAAUUGUGGGGAAAGUCUGUUCCGGAACGAUAGGAAAAGCCAAACUUUAUUUUCCAUACAAGGGUGAAGAAAUUGAAAGCGACACAUACGAAGUGCUUGCUUAUGAGGACAAGCCAAAUGAAGUUGAAUCGGUUUAAUCACUGGAGCCACAAAUCAACUUUUUUUUAUUUCCACAUUAAAAAAUCGUAACUGAAUUACUGAACAUCUGCAGUAACGUGCGUCAAUAAUAAAGAAAUCAAAAACUAAAUAAUAAUAAUAUUAAUAACAUUUGGCUUUUAGAAGCCAAAAGGUUAUAUUCUUAUCACAAAAUACGUAUUUUUUCCCAUACUUUUGUAUAAAGACGCCUCGAAUAAAAUAAAUGUAAACAAACCAAAAUGAAUCAAAUGUUAUUCUUAUGUCUGACAGCUCCGCUUUUACACCUUGUAACAUGAGAGCCCGAUUAUUAUUGGAGGGAUUAUGACGGGAAAAUUCCUGUGGACGCUGUAGAGGGUGGAAGAGACGUAACAGACCAUCCUACAUACAUUGGUCAAGCUUUCGUCAUAAACCAUGGCAUUAUACCUGGGCGAAUUUAUCCCGGGCAAAAAAAUAUCACGACUUCAAAACAAGGAAUCCACGUGACUAGCCUUUACAACAAGAUAUUGUGCAGUAAUCACAAAGAAAACUUCUCGUGGCUUUUCGUUAGAAAACUACCAACAAGCAUUUGGUUAAAGGUGGGACGAGUGGGGCGAUAUUUUGAAUAUUGGACGAGUUGAGUACCGAGGAGAAUUAAUUGUGGGGUUCCCGGAAAAGCAAAAUUGUAUUUUCCGUUUCAAGGCGAGGAAAUUGCCAUCAAUAGUUAUGAAGUACUUGUUUAUAAUGAUGAGCCAAAGUUUGUUAAAACAUCUUAAAUAAAAACAUAUUUUCUUAAA